rnacentral:rRNA from 1 species
GAUGAACGCUGACAGAAUGCUUAACACAUGCAAGUCAACUUGAAUUUGGGUUUUUAACUUAGAUUUGGGUGGCGGACGGGUGAGUAACGCGUAAAGAACUUGCCUCACAGCUCGGGACAACAUUUAGAAAUGAAUGCUAAUACCUGAUAUUAUGAUUUUAAAGCAUCUUAGAAUUAUGAAAGCUAUAAGCACUGUGAGAGAGCUUUGCGUCCCAUUAGCUAGUUGGAGAGGUAACAGCUCACCAAGGCGAUGAUGGGUAGCCGGCCUGAGAGGGUGAACGGCCACAAGGGGACUGAGACACGGCCCUUACUCCUACCGGAGGCAGCAUUGGGGAAUAUUGGACAAUGGACCGAGAGUCUGAUCCCGCAAUUCUGUGUGCACCAUGAAGUUUUUCGGAAUGUAAAGUGCUUUCAGUUGGGAAGAAAAAAAUGACGGUACCAACAGAAGAAGUGACGGCUAAAUACGUGCCAGCAGACGCGGUAAUACGUAUGUCACGAGCGUUAUCCGGAUUUAUUGGGCGUAAAGCGCGUCUAGGUGGUUAUGUAAGUCUGAUGUGAAAAUGCAUGGCUCAACUCUGUAUUGCGUUGGACACUGUAUGACUACAGUACUGGAGAGGUAAGCGGAACUACAAGUGUACAUGUGAUAUUCGUAGAUUGUGUAGGAAUGCCCAUGGGGAAGCCAGCUUACUGGACAGAUACUGACGCUCUCCGCGAAAGCGUGCGUAGCAUACAGG